rnacentral:rRNA from 1 species
GUUAUAUGGUCAAGUGAAGAAGCGCAUACGGUGGAUGCCUUGGCAGUCAGAGGCGAUGAAAGACGUGGUAGCCUGCGAAAAGCUUCGGGGAGUCGGCAAACAGACUUUGAUCCGGAGAUGUCUGAAUGGGGGAACCCACCUAACAUAAGUUAGGUAUCUUAAGCUGAAUACAUAGGCUUAAGAAGCGAACCAGGGGAACUGAAACAUCUAAGUACCCUGAGGAAAAGAAAUCAACCGAGAUUCCCUUAGUAGUGGCGAGCGAACGGGGACCAGCCCUUAAGCUGUAUUGAUGUUAGCGGAACGCUCUGGAAAGUGCGGCCAUAGUGGGUGAUAGCCCUGUACGCGAAAACAUCUUUGCAGUGAAAUCGAGUAGGACGGAGCACGAGAAACUUUGUCUGAAUAUGGGGGGACCAUCCUCCAAGGCUAAAUACUACUGACUGACCGAUAGUGAACUAGUACCGUGAGGGAAAGGCGAAAAGAACCCCGGAGAGGGGAGUGAAAUAGAUCCUGAAACCGUAUGCGUACAAGCAGUGGGAGCCUACUUUGUUAGGUGACUGCGUACCUUUUGUAUAAUGGGUCAGCGACUUAUUUUCAGUGGCAAGCUUAACCGAAUAGGGGAGGCGUAGCGAAAGCGAGUCUUAAUAGGGCGUCUAGUCGCUGGGAAUAGACCCGAAACCGGGCGAUCUAUCCAUGGGCAGGUUGAAGGUUGGGUAACACUAACUGGAGGACCGAACCGACUACCGUUGAAAAGUUAGCGGAUGACCUGUGGAUCGGAGUGAAAGGCUAAUCAAGCUCGGAGAUAGCUGGUUCUCCUCGAAAGCUAUUUAGGUAGCGCCUCAUGUAUCACUGUAGGGGGUAGAGCACUGUUUCGGCUAGGGGGUCAUCCCGACUUACCAAACCGAUGCAAACUCCGAAUACCUACAAGUGCCGAGCAUGGGAGACACACGGCGGGUGCUAACGUCCGUCGUGAAAAGGGAAACAACCCAGACCGUCAGCUAAGGUCCCAAAGUUAUGGUUAAGUGGGAAACGAUGUGGGAAGGCUUAGACAGCUAGGAGGUUGGCUUAGAAGCAGCCACCCUUUAAAGAAAGCGUAAUAGCUCACUAGUCGAGUCGGCCUGCGCGGAAGAUUUAACGGGGCUCAAACCAUACACCGAAGCUACGGGUAUCACUUAGGUGAUGCGGUAGAGGAGCGUUCUGUAAGCCUGUGAAGGUGAGUUGAGAAGCUUGCUGGAGGUAUCAGAAGUGCGAAUGCUGACAUGAGUAACGACAAUGGGUGUGAAAAACACCCACGCCGAAAGACCAAGGUUUCCUGCGCAACGUUAAUCGACGCAGGGUUAGUCGGUCCCUAAGGCGAGGCUGAAAAGCGUAGUCGAUGGAAAACAGGUUAAUAUUCCUGUACUUCUGGUUAUUGCGAUGGAGGGACGGAGAAGGCUAGGCCAGCUUGGCGUUGGUUGUCCAAGUUUAAGGUGGUAGGCUGGAAUCUUAGGUAAAUCCGGGAUUCUAAGGCCGAGAGCUGAUGACGAGUU